UGAGGAAUAUUGGGCAAUGCCCGCAAGGGUGACCCAGCAACGCCGCGUGGAGGAUGAAUGUCGUAAGAUUGUAAACUCCUGUUAGAGGGGAAGAAUAGUACCGGUUGGACCGGUAUAUGACUGUACCCUCAGAGAAAGCCCCGGCUAACUACGUGCCAGCAGCCGCGGUAAUACGUAGGGGGCACGCGUUGUCCGGAUUUACUGGGUGUAAAGGGCGCGCAGGCGGGAUAAAAAGUCAGUGGUGAAAUCCUACAGCUUAACUGUAGAACUGCCUUUGAUACUUUUAUUCUUGAGUUCGGGAGAGAGAGACGGAAUUCCAGGUGUAGUGGUGAAAUACGUAGAUAUCUGGAAGAACACCAGUUGCGAAGGCGGUCUCUUGGUCCGACACUGACGCUGAGGCGCGAAAGCGUGGGGAGCAAACA
rnacentral:rRNA from 1 species